rnacentral:tRNA from 1 species
AGAGAUGUAGCUCAGUGGUGGAGCACUUGCCUAGUAUGUGUGAGGUCCUGGGUUCAAUCCCCAGUACCUCAA